CAUGCAUGCUUUAUGUUAUGUAUGUGUAUGAUUACACCGUGCCUAAUUGGCCGGGCAGACACCACUGCGCUGGGCGUACUGGGCGGCUAUGAUGAUAAUUACACCGUGCCUAGUUUGCCGGGCAGACACCACUGGUGGGCGGCAUGAGAUGGUUGCCCCGGACGCGGGCUAAUGAUGAUCACACCAUACCUAUAUGGUCGGGCAGUUUAUGUAUGUACAUAUGAUAUGAUGUUGUUUAAUAUAAAAGUUAGCAUGCAUGACUCCGCCUUAAGAGGCAAGCAGUUCAGGUUAUCUCUUCGUCUUAUGUUCUUUUAUUUCUUGAUUAUGUUGUUAUACAUGCCUUACAUACUCAGUACAUUGUUCGUACUGAUGUCUUUUCUUUUAUGGUGCGUUCAUGCCCGCAGGUAGACAGGGAGACGACAUAGACACUUAGGAGCUUUAUCAGCAGAUGUACAGGAGCACUCCACUACUCUGGAAUUGCCGAUUAUUGGUAUAUUCUUUUGUGCACAUAUUUGGAGCAUGGCGGGAUCCUGUCCCGUCCUUAUGAUUUCAGUACUCCAGUUAGAGGCUCGUAGAUACAUGUGUGAGUAGCAGAUGUUAUGUGAUCUCUUAAUGUAUAUGCUCUGUUUAUCAUUUUGUAUCAUUGUAGGCUUAUGUACAUGUAUGUUUUGAGGGGCAUUCGAAGAUCAAUUCAUGAUAAGUUUGUGUUGAGAAUGGGGUAUAUUCAGGUUGAAUUUGAUGAUAAGUCUGAAAGGUGGUGCUCGGUGAGCUAGCGUUAGGUACCCGUCAUGAUCCUCUAGUUGGGUCGUGACAAGGUGUAUAGAAUAAGAUAAUGAAAAGAAUUUUUUUUUUUAAAAAAAGGAGAAAGAAUUGAAUGAAUAUUACCAGAAAUUAAAAAAGAAACAAAAAAAUGAAUGAAAUUAGAUUACAGAGAAAAGAAAUAAGAGAAAAAAGUGAAUGAAAUUAGAUUAUGGAGAAAAAAAAGAAUUAAAUAAAAUAAAAAAAGGAACAAGAAAUGAAGAAUAAAAAAACAGAAAAUAGGAAACAAAAAGAAAAGAGCUAAAAUUAAAUAUGGUGAAAAAAAAUAAAGAAUAACAUAAUCUGAAAAAAAUAGUCAACAAAAGUGGAGAAAAAAGAAAAAAAAUUAAGAAAAAAAAAGAAAAAAUAAAAGGAGAAAAGAAAGAAAAGAAGACAAAAAGAUAAUAAGUAGAGAAUUUUUUUUUAAAAAAAGAAGAGAUAAUUACCUACAAAAUCUAUAAUGGGUAGAAAGGGUAAAUAGUUUUGGGAUAUAAAAGGAAGGGAGACAUGGAAGACUAAUUAUUUUGUGUGUAGUGGACAUUGAUGUUCUUUUCCCCAAAAAAAAAGAAAAAUCUAUCUUAAGACAGACUUUUGCCUUAAGACAAAUUUUGCAUAAAGGCAAACUUCUGCCUUAUAAGGCAGACUUUUGCCCAAGUAGGCCUACUUUGCUACGAAACUCUCCGUUGUGAAAUUGUCUUUUUUUAUUUUACUGAGCAAGUGUUCGAAUCCAAAAUCUCGAAAUAUUUUCGGUCAUUUUUUUAGGUGAAGGUAAAAAAUUAAAUAACAGCACCUUUGAAGGUCCAUUCGUGCAAAAAAAAAAAAAAACUAUCGAAACCUUAAACACCCUUUACUUAGUAGUAAUCCCAAAUUAAAGUAAGCUAGCAUUUUUUUCCUCCUAUAUAUAAUAAUUUAGGGUUGGGCAUAAAUAACGAAAAUAAAAAAAUCGGAUCAAACUUUAAAAAAUCGAAACCGAAAGAAUUGAACCGAACUAAUUUAGUUCGGUGUUCGGUGUCCACUUUCAAAAAAAUCAAAACCGAAAUAGCUGAAUCGAAGUUUGAUAAAAUCGAACCGAAGAACUGAACGCACACCGUAUAUAAUACGGUGGUGUCAACUAAUUGGUUUACAUUUGUGACAACCUAAGAAUCACCAAAUGCAUAGGUUGGAGAAAAAGAAGGAAAACAUCGGAAAAGGGAGAAAGCAAAUGUUCAUUGGAGUUGGUCUUGUUAUGGUUAUGGGAUUAGUUGUUUACUUAAGGCUUUGGACUAUUGACUAUCGUUUCUCUUCCACUGAAACUGAAUUACUCAGGAGAAGAUCAACAUCAAAACCCUGAAGCUAAUCCAUGGAGGGUGAUGGUUCUUACUUCUCUUCAAAGUUGUGAUAAACUUGGUCUUGAAAGGAGUUGGGAAAGGUGAAGUUCUUCUAUAAUAAGAUUUUGCGAACUUUGGAGGAGAACGUUAAGUAGUUAAGAAGACGUAAAGGUAUGUAAGGCUAACCCUUCUUUCUAAAGGCAUGAUUUCCUUAUUGUAAAUCCAUCGAAGAUAUCUGUAAUGUCCUAUUUUUAGAAAUGCUAGAAGUCAUGACUUUCAAGAUUCUUAAGAUAUGAUUGGUAAAAUCUCUUCAUAGUGAUGAUGAUAAUGAUGAUGAUGAUGAUGGUGAUUCCAUAAUGGUACCCGAUAAAGUUGUAAUGUUUCCUUUGGAUACUCAUGUAUGUCAUAUAUGUAUAUAGCUAUGUUGUGACACCGAACUUAUAUGGCCGGGUAUGAUAUCUAUAGCACGCACACCACUGUAGUUGGGUAUGAAAAACACCAAGCCUUGUUAUAGCCGGGUAUGAAUGACACCGAACCUAUAUGGUCGGGUAUGGUAUCAUUAUAUGUAUAUGUAGGAAAUGUUUUCUUCAGAGAAAGGUUAAGUAAGCAUAAUGAACGUCUUAAGAGGUAUUAUGAGGUAUAAAUGAUUCACUUUUCUUAUGUUAUUCCUCAUGCUUUUAUCAUGUUAGUAUUCAUGCCUUACAUACUCAGUACAUUGUUUGUACUGACGUCCUUUUGUUUAUGGACAUUGCGUUCAUGCCCGCAGGUAGACAGAGAGACAGACCAGACAUUUAGGCUGUAAUAGUUGGUAUUAUUAUUUUUGUAUACAUAUAUGGGCAUGGCGGGGUCCUAUCCCGUCUUUAUGAUAUUACAUACUCUCCGUAGAGGCUCGUAGACAGAUGUGUAUAGCUAAAUAUCCCUCAGCCUUGUCGGUUCGUAUUUUGUAUAUCCUUUUGAUAGCCUUGUCGGCUUGUGUAUAUAUAGGUAUAGUUAAUGAUGUUUACAUAAUGGUGCCUUCGUCCGAUGUAAUUUGUGUCAUUAGUGCAUGGUAAUUAUGAGUUAGCCAUGUGGCUCACCUAGAUAUGAUUAUGAGAGUAUGAUGAGAGGUGCUCGGUAAGUUAACUCCGGGUGCCCGUCAUUGCCCUCCGGUUGAGUCGUGCAACUGCCUUUUUGCACGUGUUUAAUUCUGUAGAGGCUAGAGAUGCUCUCUUUCCAGAGAUGUGGGUUCGAAACCCCAUCAGUGCCUAUGUUUUUUCGUUUUUUAGUUAUAAUAAGUAAUAUUGUCUUUUAAUUCACUUUUUAAAAUUAGAAGAACGUAUAAAUUGAACUCGUGCAAUUCUUUUCCUUUGGGGGUAACUUUUUCCCUUUUGCUAUCAUACAUAAUUUCUUUUAACACUUUAUAUUUUAAAAACAAUAUAUAGAAUUGACAAAUCAAUAAGCAAAAAGCAAACUGAAUUCCCCCGAUACUUGCUGCUACCAUUCUUUUUCAUGAUUUUCUUUCACAAAGUCAAACCCAAAAUUAGAUUUUCAAAAUAUAAUAAAUACUUAUACUUGUUCGUUAGUUUGAUGGUUGUUAUCAGGGUGGCUCAAGGGUGAAGCUAGUAA